GAGAAGAUCUACAUCGGAGGAGGCGUCACCUGGGAGGCCCUGGAUGUGAGAGGGAACAUUACAGUAUAUUUGCCCUUGGUCAGAAUCGAAGCCAGGACACCCCCUCACGCUGUAUAGGAAGGCUUGCUUGGGCAUUGGUCAUGACCGCCACUCACUAACAGGUUGUAUGUUGCUGUUCCUUCAGAUUUCAAACCUUUCCACCUUAACAUAUGGGAGCAUGACCUUGGGCUUUCAUUCUCCCCAUCCCAAUUUGAGCUUGCCUACAAGUCCUCUAUUGCCAGAAAAUAUCAAGCAACAUGUUAUAAGUUAUUGCCCCGAUGGUUUCACAUUCCUUCUAAAUCGUGCAACAUAUUCUCAUUGACUUCUCCACUAUGCUGGUGACGCGGUGCAUACUUCAUUUUUUGGGGAUUGUCUGAGAGGUAGGAAACAUCAUACGGUCUCCGAAAUUUCUCAUACUCCUGCAUUUUACCUUUUCUGUCUUUCAGACAUCUCCUUCAAAGCAUACCCCCUGUAGAAAUCUACCGACAACUUUCCUUGUGGGUUCAAAAGGUUGAAGAUAUUCAGAAAAUGGAGGAGCUUUCUGCAUCCCUCCAAAAUACCCAUGGGUCGCUUGGCUCAGCCUGGACUUUUUGGAUCCUCUUUCAGAGCUCCUGAGAUUGCCGGGACCUUUUGGAUUGUAGAUGAGUAUCUGGUUGUAGAUUGCACGUUCUCCUGUCCACGAUGGGACACUGGGUUGGAUCCCAGGGCAACUGUUCUGGUAUUUAAAAAAAAAAACCACUGACGCAAUUUUGUCGCAAGUGACAUUUCUACGCCAUACUUGCCACUUUACAAAAAGAGGGCGUGACAAGAGGGUCUAGCAUAUUUAUCUUUAUUUAUGCCAGUAUACUGGCUUAAGUAACUACAGAAAUUUAUAGCAGCUCGGUAGCUACUUUAGAUUUCUCUUUAUGUGCAAGGAUUGCUGGAGGAUGUGCCUAAUAUAUGACAAGGCCUGUGCCUCGUCAUAAAGUAGGCACGUCCACCGGCAGCACAGCGGAUGUUGUAAAAUGUCAGUCUGU